rnacentral:rRNA from 1 species
UACGUAGGGUGCAAGCGUUAAUCGGAAUUACUGGGCGUAAAGCGUGCGCAGGCGGUUAUUUAAGUCAGAUGUGAAAGCCCCGGGCUUAACCUGGGAAUUGCGUUUGAAACUAGAUGACUAGAGUCUGUCAGAGGGGGGUGGAAUUCCACGUGUAGCAGUGAAAUGCGUAGAGAUGUGGAGGAACACCGAUGGCGAAGGCAACCCCCUGGGAUAAGACUGACGCUCAUGCACGAAAGCGUGGGGAGCAAACAGG